rnacentral:sRNA from 1 species
GAGGCCGAACCGCCGAGUCCGCGGGUCGCAUCCAGCGCCCCGGGGAGCCGGGGACCCACUUUCGGAGCGUUCGGGGGAUCGCCCCUGGGCUGACGCCGUCAGGGGUGAAUCCGCAGUGCACGGCAGACGUCCGCGCGCUCGCGGAGGGGCUGCUCCGGCCCCAACCCGUCAGCUAACCCGGUAGGCGGAUGAGGAGAGGAGAA